rnacentral:rRNA from 1 species
UGGGGAAUAUUGCACAAUGGGGGAAACCCUGAUGCAGCAACGCCGCGUGAAGGAAGAAGGUUUUCGGAUCGUAAACUUCUAUCAAUAGGGACGAAUAAAAUGACGGUACCUAAAUAAGAAGCCCCGGCUAACUACGUGCCAGCAGCCGCGGUAAUACGUAGGGGGCAAGCGUUAUCCGGAAUUACUGGGUGUAAAGGGAGCGUAGGUGGCAUGGUAAGCCAGAUGUGAAAGCCCGAGGCUUAACUUCGAGGAUUGCAUUUGGAACUAUCAGGCUAGAGUACAGGAGAGGAAAGCGGAAUUCCUAGUGUAGCGGUGAAAUGCGUAGAUAUUAGGAAGAACACCAGUGGCGAAGGCGGCUUUCUGGACUGAAACUGACGCUGAGGCUCGAAAGCGUGGGGAGCAAACAGG